AUCUAUUUAUGUAUUAUCAUCUAAUCUAUUAUCAUCUACUCUUAUCAUCUAACCUAUUAUCAUCUACUCUAUUAUCAUCUAACCUAUUAUCAUCUAACCUAUUAUCAUCUAAUCUAUUAUCAUCUACUCUAUUAUCAUCUACUCUAUUAUCAUCUAACCUAUUAUCAUCUAACCUAUUAUCAUCUAACCUAUUAUCAUCUAAUCUGUUAUCAUCUAAUCUAUUAUCAUCUAACCUAUUUAUCUAUUAUUAUCUAUAAUCUAAUCUAUUUAUCUAUUAUCUAACCUAUUAUCAUCUAAUCUAUUUAUCUAUUAUCUAACCUAUUAUCAUCUAUCAUCUAAUCUAUUUAUCUAUAAUCUAAUCUAUUAUCAUCUAAUCUAUUAUCAUCUAACCUAUUAUCAUCUAUCAUCAAAUCUAUUGAUCUAUUAUCUAAUCUAUUAUCUAUUAUCUAAUCUAUUUAUCUAUUAUCAUCUAAUCUAUUAUCUAAUAUAUUAUCUAUUAUCAUCUAAUCUAUUUAUCUAUUAUCAUCUAAUCUUUUAUCUAUUAUCAUCUAAUCUAUUAUCUAUUAUCAUCUAAUCUAUUUAUCUAUUAUCAUCUAAUCUAUUAUCAUCUAAUAUAUUAUCAUCUAUCAUAAUCUAUUUAUCUAUUAUCAUCUAUCAUCUAUUUUAUUUUUAUUUCCCCUUUAUUUAACCAGGUAGUCCAGUUGAGAACAAGUUCUCAUUUACAAUUGCGACCUGGCCAAGAUAAAGCAAAGCAGUUUGACACAUACAACAACACAGUUACACAUGGAGUAAAACAAACAUACAGUCAAUAAUACAGUAGAAAAAUAAGUCUAUAUACAAUGUGAGCAAAUGAGGUGAGAUAAGGGAGGUAAGGCAAUAAAUAGGCCAUAGUGGCGAAAUAAUGACAAUAUACCAAUUAAACACAAGUGAUUAAUGUGCAGAAGAUGAAUGUGCAAGUAGAGAUACUGGGGUGCAAAGGAGCAAGAUAAAUAAAUAAAUAACAGUAUGGGGAUGAGGUAGUUGUUUGGGCUAAAUUAUAGGUGGGCUAUGUACAGGUGCAGUAAUCUGUGAGCUGCUCUGACAGCUGGUGCUUAAAAUUAAUGAGGGAGAUAUGAGUCUCCAGCUUCAGUGAUUUUUGCAGUUCGUUCCAGUCAUUGGCAGCAGAGAACUGGAUGGAGAGGCGGCCAAAGGAAGAAUUGGCUUUGGGGGUGACUAGUGAGAUAUACCUGCUGGAGCGUGUGCUACGAGUGGGUGCUGCUAUGGUGACCAGUGAGCUGAGAGAAGGUGGGGCUUUACCUAGCAGAGACUUGUAGAUGACCUGGAGCCAGUGGGUUUGGCGACGAGUAUGAAGCGAGGGCCAGCCAACGAGAGCGUACAGGUCACAAUGGUGGGUAGUAUAUGGGGCUUUGGCGACAAAACGGAUGGUACUGUGAUAGACUACAUCCAAUUAGCUGAGUAGGGUGUUGGAGGCCAUUCCGGAAAUGACAUCACCGAAGUCGAGGAUCGGUAGGAUGGUCAGUUUAACAAGGGUAUGUUUGGCAGCAUGAGUGAAGGAUGCUUUGUUGCGAAAUAGGAAGCUGAUUCUAGAUUUAACUUUGGAUUGGAGAUGCUUAAUAUGAGUCUGGAAGGAGAGUUUACAGUCUAACCAGACACCUAGGUAUUUGUACUUGUCCACACAUUCUAAGUCAGAACCGUCCAGAGUAGUGAUGCUGGACGGGCGGGCAGGUGCAGGUAGCGAACGGUUGAAGAGCAUGCAUUUAGUUUUACUUGCGUUUAAGAGCAGUUGGUGGCCACGGAAGGAGAGGUGUAUGGCAUUGAAGCUUGUCUGGAGGUUAGUUAACACAGUGUCCAAGGAGGGGCCAGAAGUAUACAGAAUGUUGUAUACUUAUCUAAUCUAUUAUCAUCUAAACGAUUAUCAUAUCUAUUACCUUAAAUAUUUAAUAUAUUUUUUUAUCUAUUAUCAUUUUAUCGUUUUUUUUUUAUCUAUUUUCAUCUGCUUUCAUAAUUGGUCUAUUUUAAUACAGAAUGGUCUAUUUUAAUCUAUUUUAAUACAGAAUGGUCUAUUUUAAUACAGAUUAUGAUCUAUUUUAAUACAGAUUAAGAUAUAUUUUAAUCCAAAAGGUAGGUAUAAAUGCUGGCAGCUCUAGAGGUGUGUUUUUGUAAAGAUUGUCAUUGGUUUGAUUAUGGUUACUGGGUCUUCUCCCCUCCCAGUGCAGGGGUGUCAUUAUGGUUACUGGGUCUUCUCCCUCCUAGUGCAGGGGUGUCGUUAUGGUUACUGGGUCUUCUCCCCUCCUAGUGCAGGGGUGUCGUUAUGGUUACUGGGUCUUCUCCCUCCCAGUAUAGGGGUGUCGUUAUGGUUACUGGGUCUUCUCCCCUCCUAGUGCAGGGGUGUCAUUAUGGUUACUGGGUCUUCUCCCUCCUAGUGCAGGGGUGUCGUUAUGGUUACUGGGUCUUCUCCUCCUAGUGCAGGGGUGUCGUUAUGGUUACUGGGUCUUCUCCCUCCUAGUGCAGGGGUGUCGUUAUGGUUACUGGGUCUUCUCCCCUCCUAGUGCAGGGGUGUCGUUAUGGUUACUGGGUCUUCUCCCUCCUAGUGCAGGGGUGUCGUUAUGGUUACUGGGUCUUCUCCCUCCCAGUAUAGGGGUGUCAUUAUGGUUACUGGGUCUUCUCCCUCCCAGUACAGGGGUGUCAUUAUGGUUACUGGGUCUUCUCCCUCCUCCUAGUACAGGGGUGUCAUUAUGGUUACUGGGUCUUCUCCCUCCCAGUACAGGGGUGUCAUUAUGGUUACUGGGUCUUCUCCCUCCCAGUACAGGGGUGUCGUUAUGGUUACUGGGUCUUCUCCCUCCCAGUACAGGGGUGUCAUUAUGGUUACUGGGUCUUCUCUCCUCCUAGUACAGGGGUGUCAUUAUGGUUACUGGGUCUUCUCCUCCUAGUACAGGGGUGUCAUUAUGGUUACUGGGUCUUCUCUCCUCCUAGUACAGGGUGUCAUUAUGGUUACUGGGUCUUCUCCCUCCCAGUACAGGGGUGUCGUUAUGGUUACUGGGUCUUCUCCCUCCCAGUACAGGGGUGUCGUUAUGGUUACUGGGUCUUCUCCCUCCUAGUACAGGGGUGUCGUUAUGGUUACUGGGUCUUCUCCUCCCAGUACAGGGGUGUCAUUAUGGUUACUGGGUCUUCUCCCUCCCAGUGCAGGGGUGUCAUUAUGGUUACUGGGUCUUCUCCCUCCCAGUACAGGGGUGUCAUUAUGGUUACUGGGUCUUCUCCCUCCUAGUACAGGGGUGUCAUUAUGGUUACUGGGUCUUCUCCUCCCAGUACAGGGGUGUCAUUAUGGUUACUGGGUCUUCUCCCUCCUCCUAGUACAGGGGUGUCAUUAUGGUUACUGGGUCUUCUCCCUCCCAGUAUAGGGGUGUCAUUAUGGUUACUGGGUCUUCUCCCUCCUCCUAGUACAGGGGUGUCGUUAUGGUUACUGGGUCUUCUCCCUCCUAGUACAGGGGUGUCAUUAUGGUUACUGGGUCUUCUCUCCUCCUAGUACAGGGGUGUCAUUAUGGUUACUGGGUCUUCUCCUCCUAGUACAGGGGUGUCAUUAUGGUUACUGGGUCUUCUCUCCUCCUAGUACAGGGGUGUCAUUAUGGUUACUGGGUCUUCUCCCUCCUAGUACAGGGGUGUCAUUAUGGUUACUGGAUCUUCUCUCCUCCUAGUACAGGGGUGUCAUUAUGGUUACUGGGUCUUCUCUCCUCCUAGUACAGGGGUGUCAUUAUGGUUACUGUGUCUUCUCCCUCCCAGUAUAGGGGUGUCAUUAUGGUUACUGGGUCUUCUCCUCCUAGUACAGGGGUGUCAUUAUGGUUACUGGGUCUUCUCCCUCCCAGUAUAGGGGUGUCAUUAUGGUUACUGGGUCUUCUCCUCCUAGUACAGGGGUGUCGUUAUGGUUACUGGGUCUUCUCCCUCCUAGUACAGGGGUGUCAUUAUGGUUACUCCAGCAUGCUGUAGAGAGGUUUCUGAUUGGAUCCAGCGUGCUGUAGAGAGGUUUCUGAUUGGAUCCAGCGUGCUGUAGAGGUUUCUGAUUGGAUCCAGCAUGCUGUAGAGAGGUUUCUGAUUGGAUCCAGCGUGCUGUAGAGAGGUUUCUGAUUGGAUCCAGCAUGCUGUAGAGAGGUUUCUGAUUGGAUCCAGCGUGCUGUAGAGGUUUCUGAUUGGAUCCAGCAUGCUGUAGAGAGGUUUCUGAUUGGAUCCAGCAUGCUGUAGAGAGGUUUCUGAUUGGAUCCAGCGUGCUGUAGAGAGGUUUCUGAUUGGAUCCAGCAUGCUGUAGAGAGGUUUCUGAUUGGAUCCAGCGUGCUGUAGAGAGGUUUCUGAUUGGAUCCAGCGUGCUGUAGAGAGGUUUCUGAUUGGAUCCAGCAUGCUGUAGAGAGGUUUCUGAUUGGAUCCAGCGUGCUGUAGAGAGGUUUCUGAUUGGAUCCAGCGUGCUGUAGAGAGGUUUCUGAUUGGAUCCAGCAUGCUGUAGAGAGGUUUCUGAUUGGAUCCAGCAUGCUGUAGAGAGGUUUCUGAUUGGAUCCAGCAUGCUGUAGAGAGGUUUCUGAUUGGAUCCAGCGUGCUGUAGAGAGGUUUCUGAUUGGAUCCAGCGUGCUGUAGAGAGGUUUCUGAUUGGAUCCAGCGUGCUGUAGAGAGGUUUCUGAUUGGAUCCAGCGUGCUGUAGAGAGGUUUCUGAUUGGAUCCAGCAUGCUGUAGAGAGGUUUCUGAUUGGAUCCAGCAUGCUGUAGAGAGGUUUCUGAUUGGAUCCAGCAUGCUGUAGAGAGGUUUCUGAUUGGAUCCAGCGUGCUGUAGAGGUUUCUGAUUGGAUCCAGCAUGCUGUAGAGAGGUUUCUGAUUGGAUCCAGCAUGCUGUAGAGAGGUUUCUGAUUGGAUCCAGCGUGCUGUAGAGAGGUUUCUGAUUGGAUCCAGCAUGCUGUAGAGAGGUUUCUGAUUGGAUCCAGCAUGCUGUAGAGAGGUUUCUGAUUGGAUCCAGCAUGCUGUAGAGAGGUUUCUGAUUGGAUCCAGCGUGCUGUAGAGAGGUUUCUGAUUGGAUCCAGCGUGCUGUAGAGAGGACUCUGAUUGGAUCUCCACUAAAGGAAGAACAUUUCCUUUAAAUUUCAAUCACUGUAAAACGUACAUCUCCACAAUGCAGAUUGAAUGGACCCUUAGA